GUCGGGGCAGUGUGGGGAGAAAUGCAGAAAAAGUAGGUCAGCUGCGCCCAGCGGCAGAGCGGAACGGGCCGGGCCGGGUCAGGGCGGGCAGGGGGCUCCCCUUGCGGGGGUCUGCCGGCGCUCCCGCCUUGACUCCCGGCGCCUGCGAUUUGCUCCCGGACAUUAGCAGGAAAUUACACUAAUACUGAAUCACAGUUCUGUAUGCAUCAUCAUCAUGUACAGAUGUUUUCCAUGGUGAGGAAGUUGCUGUUAGGGGUUUUUUACACAGCAUAUCACCAGGACAGCAGAAGAAUUCACAGUUGUCUGAGUCACACUGGCUAUAGCAGAUUCACAGAUUUCUUGAUUCCCAUUUUCUUCUGUGCCUUGGAACAUCAGACAAAGGUUAUUUAUUUAGUCUUCACACACAUCCACAACGAAGGAAGGCAAAACAAUUCUGUCUGUGCUACGUGGGGGUGACAAGGCAGCAAGAAUACAGAAUCUGCCCAAGGCCAGCAUGAGGAGUCUGGAAUGCCUGGCUGCCAGCCCCAUUCUCAAAAUAUAUAGUUCCUUUCUAGAGACAGCAGCUGUUUGUUCUCUGACACUUAUAGAGCAUCUAAGAUUAUUUCCAUUGACGUUAAUAAUCGGUGCAGUCCAGUGAGAGCAAAAUUGGGUCAUAGAUGUUUAAACUGGCCCAAUUUCACUGAGGGCUCCUGGUAAACUCAUGGUUACACACAACUCUGUAAUUAUCAGGUUCAGUUUGGGAAGCUGAGUGGCACAUGCGGAAGGCUAGGGCGGUAACACAACAGUUGUGCACUCAGCUUUUUUCUGCCACAAGCAUGGCCAGUCUUUUGGCCAGGACAGUUCCUGUAGACUGAAAUGAAGCUGAGGGUUGCAUGCACUCUGUGUAUGCAUGUGUAUGCACUCUGUCUAUGCCAUCACUAGAGAUGUGUACCUUCUGCAAGGAAAAUUCAAGCAUUUCCCCAGCCUGUGACCGAUGCAGGCACCAGAGACGUGAACACACAACACCUUGGGCAAAAAGGCUUCCUCUAGGAUGUACGAGCAUCCAUCUGCAUUUCAGUUGCAGCAGGACUUGUCCAUCCCAUGGCAAAGGGAGCAUUGUGGGAUUCCAGGGAAAGUGGCUAAUAAGGGUGUAUAGACAGGAGAAUUGUCCCAGCCAAACAGGAUCCAGAUAUGAAGCCCAUCCCCAGGUAGGGUAUCCCCUUGUAUCUUUGUGAGACCUUGGGAUAAACAUAAGCAUUUAAACUUUUUUUCACAACAAAGCUGAGGAUAUUAUAUAUAUUUUUUAAAUGCCAUGUUCACCAAAAUUUAAUCAUUUUAAAGCAUCAGAAUUGCAUUGAGGCUGGUGGGCAAGACUGCAAGAAGGACCUCAGUGCUUCUGGCUUCCAUUUUUUUUUUUUUUUUUUUGAGCAGUAGUAGGCAGAGUGAAAAUGGAGGUCAAUCUGACUGCUUAUUACAAACUUUCUCCUGCUUUUUGUACCAGAUUUUGCCCUUACCAUAUGUCUAGAGGGCAUACUGAGACACUAUAGGCGUUUCACUGGGGCAAUCCUGAGUUGCUGCAUAGCACUUGGACAUCCUUACUAUCACUGAUGAAAUGCAGGUACCAUGGAAUGAUAAUUAAGCCCACCUAAGAAUCCCAAACUGUGUCAAACAGCUAACACUGAGUCUUGUGUAAUAAUCUACAAUUAGCAUGUAAUGCCCAAGGCACUUGCACAUUGACAACAUGGUUUAAUCUAGUAAUAAAGUAGGCUAAAAUGAUUAUUUUAGCUAAUAGUAUUUUUAACAGAAGUGAAAAUACAGAAAAGAAGCUACAGAAACAUAUUGAUUUCAGUUGUGCCUCCCUGACAAGUAGAUUUUGUUAUUUAUGGUCCAUUUUUUCAAAGAGGACCCAAGGCAAAUGUAGAAAUCCCUGGUUGUAUGAAAUGGAUGGUUGUGCAUCAAAAUGAGGGAUUUGCAUGUUUAACUGCCUAUAUUUGUAUCCUUCUAUCCAGUUUGCAUAUGCAAAGGCAAAGAUUGUUAUAUUUAUCAGUGCAUAAAUGAAAGGAGAAGAGAUAAAUGACCUGGUUUGCAGAGGUGCUGAGCACAUGCAGUUUCCAUUUAUUUCAACUGGAGUGUGAAAAACAGGCCCUAAGUGACUGGCUCAAGCUCACACAAUGCAUGAUUGUCAGUGCCAGGAAGAAAACCCAGAAAUCCUUCCAGUCUAAUCCUCCCAGUCUAAAUCCUCCCCAGUCUAAACUCUAGACACAGUCUCUCCAAGAAAUAAAAGAAAAAAAAAGGAAAAAAAAAUCUGUCCAAUAGCCUGACCACACUCUUAUUUCUAUCUUAAUUUGCUAAGAGAAUAAAAAAAAAGGAACAUGAAAAACUCCUGCAUAAUCUUUAAUGACUAGCAAAUAAUGCCAAGUAGGGCAAGUAAAUAUGUGUGAAGCAUUGCUCACACACCCAUCAACUUGCAUGUGUGUCACAGAUGGUUUUAGUGAAGAGCCAAAAAGAGAAGGAGAGAAAGGAAAAGGAAAACAAGUCCAGAUAAAGGGUAAGCUAGAAAGAAAGACAAAGAUAUUCUCUGUUAUUAAAAAAAAAAAAACAGUUAAAAAUGCUACAAAAACUAAUGAUUAAAAAAAAUCACUAUUCCCUUUCCUUGAUAACGUGUAGGCUAAUCUCUAUAUAAAUAGAAAUAACAGCCCUUUGAAAUGGCAAUGAUUUGCUUGGAAAACAUUCAUUAAAAACGUCCUGCAAUUAUUGACUCUAUCAUUAUUUCUUGGCAGCAGCUGAGUCUCACUGCAUCUUGUGUUGUUUCUCCAAUGAAAAGCAGAGCAUUGUUUGGGAAAAAACCUACAAAAACAGAAACAAAAAAAAAAAAAAAAAAAUCAGACCAAAAAAACCCCACAAGGACAUUGUGUUUGAAAUAUGUGCUUGGUGACAUGGAGCUGAUUGCCCAAAGGAAUCAGGAUACAUAUAUUUGUAUUAUUGUACACGUGAGUAGCUUGAAUCAUGUACUGCUCGCUCUCUUUGUUUGGAUUAUGCAGCUUGGCUGGGCAGCCAUCCAAAAGAUUCACAUUAAAUUCUAGCUAUAUUCAGCACAAAAGUCAUCUAGCAUCAGAGGAUCAAAGUUACAUCAACCAACAAGCACUAAGGAAUUGAUAAGCCACUAAAAUUAGGUCAUCUCCUAGCAGCUGCUUUUGAUGGAUGAAGUAGAAUUUAGCCUCAGGUUUUCUAUUUAAAGAUCUGUUACAGCAUCUUUUCCUGCAGCUACAAUGAGAACACAACAAAGUAUAAUGCUUCUGAUUAAAUGUUUAAUCAUUACUCUUUACUCUUCUGAUUUUUUCUGCUAUGGCACAGAUUUACAGCACAUACUAUUUGCAGCUUUCCCAG